rnacentral:lncRNA from 1 species
ACAGAUUGUCUUUUAAAUAGAGAUACGAGUGACUAAACCGAGGAUAGAGUUAGAAUGAUGAGAUUCGAGAAAUGAGCUGAGAUAGAGAUGCUGAUUGAAUUGAGUUGAGAUUUUAUUUCCGAUUACCGGGAAUAGAUUUACCAGAUACUGAGUUAUCAGAGUUUGAUUGACCUAUUAAAGAGAAUAGGUAUAAUGAGUCUGACCUAGAGUCGAGGAAGAAAGAGUGAGAACCUUGAUGAAAAGAGUCGGUCCGAGAGAUGUCUAGUUUGUUUGUUUGCCGACUGCUUUGAUGUGAC